AGAGUAAGUCAGCCUAAUCCCGAUCAAGCUUCAAAGCCAAGGGAGCGGAGGAACCAAAUUGUGGGGCGCAUCUUUAAGUAACUUAAGGAAGGACAUCUCUCUGUCCUAGCCCGUCAGCUAACUUCGUAGGCGUGGGGAGGAGACUGU
rnacentral:sRNA from 2 species